UUUUACAGUGAAAUGGGUGGUAUAUCAGACAGCUUAUUAAAGAGACAAGCUUGCUGCUUUCUCAAAGUCGGAUGACAGAACAAGUCAGGCUAUGGUUUCUUCUGCUUCGUAUUAUCCUUGAAGGAAAGAGGACAGCAAGAACUUAAAAUCUAAUAGCUAGUAUCGCCUGCUAUCAGUGGACUAAAGACUUGAAAAAACAAGUUGAGUCAAGAUCUGUGUCUGCACUGGAACUGUCUCAUCCCAAUUAGACCAACCUGUCCCACCAGAUCUAGUGUGGAAGGAAAAUAAGAUCCCUAGUGAAGUCUACAUUGUGAUUGACUCUGAAGAUUCUGAGACCAAUUGUUACUUAAUGGCCCUUAUUGGCCUAUGCAAUAAAAAGAGAUACGAUCUUAAAAAAACAAAACCCCGAUGGUUCUUAAAAAUUUUAAGAAAUGUCAUUUUUGUUAUACAUUAAUUCUU